rnacentral:rRNA from 1 species
GAGUUUGAUCGUGGCUCAGAUUGAACGCUGGCGGCAUGCCUUACACAUGCAAGUCGAACGGCAGCAUGAUCUAGCUUGCUAGAUUGAUGGCGAGUGGCGAACGGGUGAGUAAUACAUCGGGAACGUGCCCUGUAGUGGGGAUAACUAGUCGAAAGAUUAGCUAAUACCGCAUACGACCUGAGGGUGAAAGUGGGGGACCGCAAGGCCUCAUGCUAUAGGAGCGGCCGAUGUCUGAUUAGCUAGUUGGUGGGGUAAAGGCCCGACCAAGGCGACGAUCAGUAGCUGGUCUGAGAGGACGAUCAGCCACACUGGGACUGAGACACGGCCCAGACUCCUACGGGAGGCAGCAGUGGGGAAUUUUGGACAAUGGGCGAAAGCCUGAUCCAGCAAUGCCGCGUGUGUGAAGAAGGCCUCGGUGUAA